rnacentral:tRNA from 2 species
UGAUAAAUGGUGAUUUAUGUCACCUAAAACUCAUAAUCGCUUGGUCGCUGGUUCAAGUCCAGCAGGGGCCACCA